rnacentral:rRNA from 1 species
AGUAAAAGUCGUAACAAGGUUUCCGUAGGUGAACCUGCGGAAGGAUCAUUAAUGAAUUUUGAAGGGGCUGUAGCUGGCUCUCUUGAGCAUGUGCACGCCCCGUUCAAUCCAUCUCACCCCUGUGCACCACACUGUAGGGAGGGAGGGCCGUGAGGCCGUCUUUCCCUAUGUCAUUUACAAACCCAAUAGUAUCAGAAUGUAAACGCGUGUAACGCAUUUAAUACAACUUUCAGCAACGGAUCUCUUGGCUCUCGCAUCGAUGAAGAACGCAGCGAAAUGCGAUAAGUAAUGUGAAUUGCAGAAUUCAGUGAAUCAUCGAAUCUUUGAACGCACCUUGCGCUCCUCGGUAUUCCGAGGAGCAUGCCUGUUUGAGUGUCAUGGAAUCAUCAACCUUCACACCUCGUGUGUUUGAAGGCUUGGACUUGGAGGUUUGUGCUGGCGCAAGUCGGCUCCUCUUGAAUUUAUUAGCUGGGCUCUCGAGUCUGGUUGCACGGUGUGAUAAUUAUCUGCAUCGUUCGCCAGGUCUAUGGAUCAGCUUCGAACCGUCCUCUGCGAGGACAAUCAAUUUGACCUCUGACCUCAAAUCAGGUAGGACUACCCGCUGAACUUAAGCAUA